CUCUCAGUCCGUCACUGUUUCCUUCCCACUCUAUGACAUUAUAUUCCAUCUGAGCAAAAGGAGACACUUUUUUCUGCUCCUUUGUUAUGCUUUCACUGGAAACAUUCAGUGUCUGUAAUUGCCAAUUCACAGUGCAACAGAGGCCAAAGAAGUGAUUUAGCAUUCAUUCAAGCUGUUCUAUUUAUAAUUGUGAUAAUAGCUCAUAGCAUCAGAUAGGGGAACAAAAACAACAACUGGUUUCAGCAGAGACUGUGUUAAUAGCACGCUGAUGUCUGGUUGUUGCUGAGUGAUGGGAUAAUGCUCAGGGUUGGGCUGGGCCACUUGAUGGGGAAUAGCCUCUGCCUUUAUGGCACGGCAGCAGGGGUUGGGUGCGGAGCCAGGGCAGCCAGCCUGAAUUGGCCAGGGGGUUAUUCCAUGCCACAUGACAGCAUGUGGAAGGUUGUAAAGCUGAGGGGAAUUGGCCUGGGGACUGGCCAGUGCUCAGGGGUUAGUUAGGCAUUGGUCAGUGAGUUAGCAUUGCUACUUUCUUUUUUCAUUCUUUUCUCAUUUCAUUUUCUGUUUUAGUAAACAGUUUUUGUCUCCAGCCAUUAGUUCUAGUUUGUUUCCAAUUCUUUCUCUCAUCCCACUGGAGGAGGAGGGGAAUGGAUGAACAGCUGUGUGGUGCUGAGUUCCCUGGUAGGUUAAACCACAACUGUCCUUUCUGGUGUACAGUGCGGGGCUCAAACAGUUGUGAUAACAGCAGAUCUGACCAGUGUUUGUUAAAACACACAGGACAGGUAUCUAGAGUUGUGGGCACCACCAUUUUUUUGGAUCUUUGCCCUUGAAUAACUGCAGAUUCUGAAAAACUAGUAAAAUAUUUGGAAAAAGUGUGUUAUAACCCUGAUAAUUCUAGGGAGACACAAAUUACUGCAGUGUGCUGGGGUCUGGACCAUGCCUACCUAUCCCUAUUCAACACUAUUCAGCACCCUAAAGGGAAAGAGGUCUCUGGAUCUGAUGACAAUGCAACAGGCCCCACAGCUGAUCCAGUCCCUGCAACAGGUUCUGUGGUUGCUCCCAUGACAGGCCCUUCUGCUCCUCAGUUCCAUUGGCAGGCCUUGCCAUUCAAUCACAGAACUAGCAGUAUAGUCAGCCGCAUAUGAUGAAGAUGAUAAAAAAAUGCUGCAAAUGUCAUCUUGUUUAGUAAGAAAGGAAAGUCCUACUAAGAUGAGAAUGAAAAAAGAAGAUGAGGAUUAGGCAGGGCCAUCACAAGAAUGGGAGGAGGAAGAGGCAGAACUCACAAAGGAGGCAAUAACAGUCUGACUCCUAACUACAUGAGUGAGCUGCAAGAUUUGAGAAAAGGCUUCAGCUGUCAUCCAGGAGGAGGCACUGACAAAGCAGCUGGAAAUGGAACACAAGCCUUCACCCUAUGAAGGUGACUCUUGUAGGAUGUGAAAUAAAGAUAUCCCUUCAAGGAAGAUCAGAAAGACUGAAAUGAUGACAUCACAGAAUCACGGAACGGUAGAAGCUGGAAGGGACCUCUGGAGAUGAUCUAGUCCAACACCCCUGCUGAAGCAGGUUCCCUACAGGAAAACACCUAGGCUAAUUUUGAAUAUCUCCAGAGAAGGACUCUGCAGCCACUCUAGGCAGUUUGUUCCAGUACUCUUUAAUCGUCAAAGUACAGAACUUUUUCCUUGUGUUUGGACAGAACUUCCUGCGUUUAAGUUUGUGCCUGUUGCCCCUUGUUCUGUCACUGGACACCACUGAAAAAACCCUGUCCCUGUCCACUUGACUCCCACCCCUAAAUAUUUAUAAGCAUUGACAAGAUUCCCCUCUCAGUCAGAUCAUUUCCUGCAGCACUCCUGCUUGAAUAGGUGAAUACACUGUCCAUUUUGUUUCAUCUCUGUUUCAGCAAGUAUCUCAGUGUAUGCAGUUCCAUCACUUUUAUACUCUCCAAUUCAACGAGAUUCUCUGUUAUUCUUAGAAUGUUUUUCCAGUCUUUCCCAUUUUUAAUGCUACUUGUGUAUUUUCAAGCAUAUUUCCCAGUUCUACCUCCAAAUUACUGCUGAAAAUAGGGCCCUUGGGUCCUAGGUAAAAGUUGAGUUCUGGAUAAAUUCCUGGAGAGUUUUACUUUGAGAUGCUCCUAAUUUGAUAGUCAAAGACCAGUAGUACUUUUGUGAGUAAUCCUCCAAGCAGUUGUGUUCCCAUUAAUGGUAAUAACUCCUAAAACAAAAUUUUUCAUCUUGAUUAGAAAAUUAUUAUAUGAGUAUUGAGUACCAAAAGCCCUGCUUAAACAUUAACCGAUUCCCCCUAUACAUUAGACAAUUUAUCCUGUCAAAGAAGGAAUUCAGAUCAGUUUGAUAUCACAAAGCCAUGUUAACUUUCCAUAUAGCUGUAUUAUCUUCUACAUAUCUGAUUUAAAUAUUUGUUAAGAAAUAUUUUAGUGGAACAAAGUUAAGUUGACUGAUCUAUAAUUCCCCAAGUCUUCCUUUUCUUUUUUAAAAGAUAGAUUCUACAUUCAUCCUCUGGAAACUUCCUGGUCUUCCAUGUCUUUUCACAUACAACUGAUUAUGGUUCAGAAAUUGCUUUAGCUAAUUCUAAAAUGGUUUUCUUUAGAUGUUGCUUACUUGAACACAUCUACAAGGGCUGUUCCGAAAAUAAGACUUCCUAUUUUAUUAUGUUGACCCAUAAUGUCAGAGGCAGAUGUUGGCAGUAUGGCAGUAAAGGCUGCACCUUCCCAUGAAUGUUCUGUUAAAUUUUAUUAGUAUGUUACAGAUGGCAGCAGAGGGUCAGUCUGACAAAAUGGCAUCUAAAAUGGAAGUGAGUAUGAAGCAAAGUGUAAUUGAAUUCCACUCUGAGGAAGGAAUUGCAUCCAUUGACAUUCAUCGAUGCUUGCUGAACUUUUAUGUAGACAAAACAGUGGAUGUGAGCAAACUGAGGUGGUGGGUGGUGUGUUUCAGCAAGGACACCGUUACAGAAGCUAUGAAACAGUGGGUCACCUCUGCUGGUGCAGAUGUUCAUGAGUACAGCAUGCAGGCUCUUAUUCAUUGCUGGUGAAAAUGCAUAGCUAGUGGCGGUGACUAUGUAGAAAAACUGAGAAUUUGUUCUGUAAAAUAGUGCUAUUGUACUCUUUGCACCUGUUGUAUUUUCUAUGGAAACAAAUAUGAAGCAUUACUUUCGGAGCAACCAAAAGUAAUCUUGUCUAUUUAGCUCGUCCUUUUCAUUUUCUAGUUUGAAUGUCUGUCCCUUCAUUAAAAUUACUAUUAUUAUUAUUAUUAAUUCUAAUCACAGUUAACCUUUCUGGUAAAGAUUGAAGCUUAAAACUCAUCUCUAGCCUUCUCUGUAAUAUUUACUAUCCUUUUCUUUCUGGUUGUGGUUCUGUAAGUCCCUUCUUUCUACUCUUCAGACAUA